rnacentral:rRNA from 1 species
CGCCUUCUGAUAAAAUAUAGAAGGUCCAGCCUGCCCAGUGACAAAGUUAAACGGCCGCGGUACCCUAACCGUGCGAAGGUAGCGCAAUCACUUGUUCUUUAAAUAAGGACUAGUAUGAACGGCAUCACGAGGAUUAUACUGUCUCCCCCUUUUAAUCAGUGAAACUGAUCUCCCCGUGAAGAAGCGGGGAUUAUUAUAUAAGACGAGAAGACCCUAUGGAGCUUUAAACUUAGCACCACAUACCUUAAGUAAUUUCAUAAUAAACAGGUAAAGCUUGUGUACUAGUUUUCGGUUGGGGUGACCACGGAGCAAAACAAAACCUCCAUGUUGAAAAGAUACUUUUCUUAAUCCAAGAACAACAUUUCAAAGAAUCAGAAAACUGACAUAAUUGAUCCAAACAAUUUUGAUCAACGAACCAAGUUACCCUAGGGAUAACAGCGCAAUCCACUUCAAGAGCUCAUAUCGACAAGUGGGUUUACGACCUCGAUGUUGGAUCAGGAUAUCCCAGUGGUGCAGCCGCUACUAAAGGUUCGUUUGUUCAACGAUUAAAACCCU